rfam:Methylocystis bryophila strain S285 plasmid p1, complete sequence.
CGACGCCCUCCCGGUAGAGGCGCAGCCCGCCAGCCGGAAGCGAGUCUUGCAUGGGCGGCGGCGACGUCGCUCGUGAAGCGUAGACAGCGGAUGCUGAAGCCCUGUGUGAGCCUCGAUAUUUCCUACCUGUUGAGGCCUUCGGUUUGUGGAACCCGGGGGCAGCAUCGAGGAGACCGCCAAAGGCGAGGUUUCCUCGGCUCGACCGGGGUCCCAGAGCA